AGAGUUUGAUCCUGGCUCAGGACGAACGCUGGCGGCGUGCUUAACACAUGCAAGUCGAACGGAAAGGCCCAAGCUUGCUUGGGUACUCGAGUGGCGAACGGGUGAGUAACACGUGGGUGAUCUGCCCCUAACUUCGGGAUAAGCUUGGGAAACUGGGUCUAAUACCGGAUAGGACCAUGAUUUAGUGUUCAUGGUGGAAA
rnacentral:rRNA from 1 species